AGCCCAGCUCCGAGCUCCUAAGAGGUGGACUCAGGAGUCAAAGUCAAAGUUCCCUGACUUUAAGCUUACUCACUAGUCUGGUUUGGCCAAGGGUGAAGGGUAGCAAUUAUCCACGUUCAUCUUCAAAGCCACCUGCUCUCUCCUUCCCUUCCUUGGGCUCCUCGAUAUCUCCGAUAUCUCCCUCCCCCUGACCCCCAUCCAUGCCCUGCGUCCCAGUCAGAGGGGAAAGGAUGCUAUAGACCCAUCCCAGUGAGGCUUUGGUGACACCCCUUCUGCCCCCAGGUGAGGUCUACUUUAAAACAGGCCCCUGAAGAGGGCAAUGCUGAUCCUCAAGGCAGAAUUUUCUUGCGGGGGAGGUGAUCUGGGGGCAGAGGGGGGUCCUGCAGCUCUGGGCACUGGGAGGAGGGGGACAGAGGAUGGGGCAGCCGUUCUGACACUGAGAAGCGAAACGCAGGCAUGCCAGGAUGCCAUAAAGCUCAGUCUAGCACAGCAAAGUGGCAAAAAGGAAGAAUAAAACAGCCGUCUAUUUAAAAGAGUAACGACAGGGAAAAAUACAUUUUCAUCAGCUCGUCUUCUCGCGGCUGAGUCCCCGCAGCAAGCUCCAAAUUCCGACGUUAGGAAAUAAAUCAAAAUAACUUUGCAGUGUUUAGCCUCAUUUUGCCGCAUCGCUCAGCUCUGAGUUAAAAAGCAACAGGUACCGUGGUGUCUCUCCCAGAAACACAGGAACGGUUUUAAAAUGCAAUUAUGGGGGCUGGUGGAAGGGAAGGGGAAAAAUGUUUUUCUUCGAUUGAUGUAUGAUUGCCCCCAUGCUGUUUGGAAUCGUAUUUUCGCUGAGCUCUGCUAAGAAGUGCUAUUUGCAGGGAGCCUGACAGACGGAAGCGAUUGGGUUUGGCAGGUCUAAAUGUAUUAUUUUAGCAGGUCUCCAAGGAAAGAUUCCGGGAGGGGCGCUGGCCUUUUAAAGUACAGAGGACAAGGGGCUGCUCAGCCUCCAUCCUGCUUGUCAAGACCAAUCAGCCAGCCUGGAAACAGCCCCUGAGCCUUCUGGAGAGGCCUGCCUCCCCUCUUCCCCCCGCCACAGCCUCUUCUUCCCUCCCCUGCAGCCCUUGGCUCCCGCUUGACAGGUCCCAUCAGUCAUUUGUUCAGCCAGCAAGGACUUCCUGAGUGAAUCUGAGGGGCUUGCCACUCUGCUAGGCAUUGUGGGGCUGACGAGGGGGCUUGGGUCAGAUGGGGGUGAUAGAGGCCGGGCCUUCAGGAGGCUCAGGGGAGAGGAGGGUAGUGUAGCCUAGAAGCCUGGAGCAUCUGGCACAUUGGAAUAUUCAGGAAGUCAUCAGUGACAGUGGAAGGAAGUCACGCUUCUGAGAUAGAAACGUCCAUGAAGAAAUGGGACAACCAGGAGUUCCCACUGUGGCUCAGUGGGAUAAGAACAUGAUGUAGUCUCCGUGAGGACUCAGGUUUUAACCCUGGCCUAGCUCAGUGGGUUAAGGGUCCAGUGUCACCGUGAGCUGUGGUGUAGGCAGCAGAUGCAGCUUGGGUCCCUUAUUGCUGUGGCUGUGGUGUAGGCCAGUGGCUGCAGCUCCAAUUCGACCCCUAGCCUGGGAACCUCCAUAUGCUGCAGGUGCGGCCGUAAAAAGAAAAAAAGAAAGAAAUGGGACAACCAGGGGUACCCAAGGCAGGAUCAUGACAUGGCAUGAGUAGGAUAAUCAUUUAAGGAUCAGUGCUAACUGUUUGAGGCCCUACUAUGUAUCAGGCACUUUACAUGUAUUCAUUCAUUUCAUCACAAAUAGACUUGACUAUUAUCUCCAUUUUACAGGAGAAACAGAGACAAAAGGGGAUACAGCCUCUUAUCUGAGGUCACUCAGCCUGUGGGUAGCAGAGGCCAGAUCUAAGCCCUCUUCUCCACUCAGCAGUGGGAAAUCCAGCAGGGGCCAGGCCUGGGAUCAGACCCAGGCAAGGCUGGACGAGCAGCCCAGUAGUCUCCUUUACUGGGCUCUUACAGUGCACCAGGCACUGGGCUCAGCUAGGAAUAAGGAAAUGAAUAAAACCCAGCCCCUGCUUUCAAGAAGUCAAUGGUCACAGGUGGAAAGUGGCCACGUUAAAAAAUCACACACACAAUAGAGGGUGAUGGUACAAUAGCAAAGAGUUUUGCAGGGCACAGAAGUAGCACAGAGGGGUAGCUGAUUACAUUAGUCUCCUUGGAGGGUGAGGCAGGGAAGACUUCCUGGAGGAAGUGAUGUCUAAUCUGAGUUUUAAAGGAUUAGUAGAAGUUGUUAUAUGGAUAGAAGGGUCAGGUGCACGGAAUAGCAAGUGGAAACACUUGGGAGAGAGAUGAAGCUGGGGUGGAAGGAGAUCAUGAAAGGAUUUGUAAGCCAUCCUGAAGGGUAAGGUGGGAUCGGUGAUGGGAGUCGUUGUGAGGAGGAGGGAGCGGUUAAUUCUAGCUUAGAAGUUUAGGGGUGCUGGGUUAGGAGCCUAACAGUAUCUAGUGGAGGCAGGAAAGCCAUGUGUUCUCUAGAUCUGGAUUUCUGAACCUUGGCACUAUGAGAGUUUGGACAAGAUGGUUCUUUGUUGUGGGGGCUGCCCUGUGCAUCAUAGGACAGCAUUCCUGGACAGCACCCACUAUAUGCCAGUAGCACACACCCCCUCCCCAUUCCCCACCCUCCUGAAUCCUAACAACCAAAAAUGUCUCCUGACUUUGCCCAAAGUCCCCUGGGUAGCAAAAUUGCCCUGAUUGAGAACCGCUACUCUAGACCAUCAUCAUUUAGGAGAAAAAGAGGAAUGCAAGAAACAAAACAGCCACAGUGCUUUCUGUGACAGAUCCCUCAUUCUAGGGAACAUUUGGGGAAAGGAGACUAAGAGAGUUCAGGGGAGAGGACUGAACCCUCUUGUGCAGACAGACAGACAUUCAGAUCCAGAAUGGCAAAUACAGUCUAUGUGUGUCUUUCGCCCUUGCCCAAGGCAGACAUCACUAAUCAAUCACGGUGUUCUUUCCCACUGUCAGGAAUUCUGGAAUUCUCAACACAGGGUUCCAGGCAGCCACCACAGUUCAGUGUGGGUAACCCAAGACAAAAUCUGUUGCCCUCCCAGAGUGAGUCUUCUCUGAGAAGAAUUCUUUUCUCUGACCCAAGGGAACAUCCCUAUUCAAAGUGCUCCUUUUGCCCUUUAAACAUUCUUGAUUCAAACAGGGGAGAGGUGUUUUCUUGGUGAGGCUAAGCAUUGUCCCCUCCAUCUUCCUCUCUCCAGAGGAAGCACUGGUCUUAGGACUGUAGGGCCGAAAGUGGAGAGGGCACAUAGCUGCUUCCUCAGUUCAGGAGGAAUCUAGGUGAUGAGGGGGUACAGGGCACAUGGGAACAAGGGGCAGGAAGUGGUUUUGGUGGGUCCAGAGAGGGGUGAUGUGCAUAAAGCUUGGCAAGGACUGCUCCAGGGAAGAGAGGGUUAGACUCCAUCGUCUCCCAACCCCCUCUGGGCAUCUAAGAUUCUCUGAGGUAUUGGUGAGGGUUGGAGGGGGGGGUCUGCCUAGCUUACUUAUCCCAGGGACCAUCUGAGGGGCUCAGGCUCAAGUGUCCUUGGUCCUGCAUUUCCUGAGCCCCUGCCAUACCCCAGGCACCAAGGACUAACAAUUUACUGCUCCCACAGUCUCCCUAUAGAUAGACCUCACUGUCCCAUAUUGCAGGCGGAGGAAGCUAAUGCUCAGAGAUGUUACACAACUGCCCAAGGUCACACAGCCAAGAGAAAGCAGCACAGGUGUCAAAUCCUAACAUCACCAAAUAUGAGUGGGUUCCUCUAGUACCCCACAUCCCUUAACCCCUUGGGGCCCACCUUUCAGAGGGAGAAGUAAGGGGUGCAGAGACGACAAGAGAUCUGAGAGGCCACAUAAUCAAGUAGGUAAUGGCUCUGGAGCCAGACUGGGUUCAAAUUCUACUUCUGCCACUCAUUAGCUAGGUGGCCCCAGGUGAGUUAUUUAAUUUUUCUUUGCCUCGGUUUCCUCGCCUAUUACUUGAAGUUAAUAGCUCCUAACUUGCAAAGUUGGUGCAUGGGUUUUAAGAACUGAGAGCUUGGCACAGUGCCCGGCAUGUAUGAAGGGCUCAGAAAGUGUGAGCCGAAGCCACCUUGGUGCUCAAUACACAUCAGUCCCCUUGCUCUGUCCUGGUCCCUUCUGCUGCACAGGUGCCUCCCCUUGGAACCCUUCUUAAGGAAGCUUGCUUGGUGGUGUGUGUUUCUGAGUCUGAGGUGUCAUGGAAACUGAUCUCAGCCCCAGCCUGAGCCAAAUGUCACCGGAAAGGCACAGCCUGUGGUUUGCUGACACCCCAAUCCCACAAGCCCCAGAAACCUGCCCCAAGGCAGAGGGCCCCCUUGGGCAGAUCACAGGGUGCUGGGAAACCAGGAGGGAGGCGUGGAGUGUGGCCACAGGCCUGGGUGCUCAAGGUGGGGCUGGGGAGGCAGCUGGUAGAGCAGGUCUGGGGAAGGGCCUGUGCAGAAGGCGUAGGUAGCCCCAAGUGACUGGCCCUCUGUCAAUCUUGACUUAGAAGCGCCUCCCCUCUGUCUAGGAACCCCAGUUCUUGUGUCUCUGCCUCCUCCCGGAAAUAAGCUAGUUCUCCAGCCUCCUCGGCAGCCAGGAUGCAGCCAUGGACCCGGCCCAGCCUAGCAGGUGUUCCGCUCCACGAACACGAGGCUGAAGUGAGGCCUGAGCAGAAGCAGGUGCGGUGAGGCCCUGCUUGGCAGAGAUGCCUGCUGACCCAUCUCCUUUCCAAGGGGCAGCUGCGGGCAGGGCUCAGGGGUGGCAUCAAGUGUGCUGGCUGAAGCGUGGCCUCCAGAUUUAGUCCUGGCUGUGUAGCCUCCACUUUGGGUCUCUGGUCUCCCCAGAAACUGAUUUUGGGAUCCAACUAAAAAGCUGUAAUAAAUUCUGUUUCUCC
rnacentral:lncRNA from 1 species